UUAGGUCAAGUUACUAAGAGCGUAGGGCGAAUGCCUAGGCACCAAGAGCCGAAGAAGGACGCGGUAAGCUGCGAAAAGCUACGGAUAGCUGCAAACAAGCUAUGACCCGUAGAUAUCCGAAUGGGGGAACCCACCUGAGCAAACCUCAGGUAUCUUACUGUGAAUAAAUAGCAGGAAAGAAGGGAACCCGGAGAACUGAAACAUCUAAGUACCCGGAGGAAAAGAAAGUAACAACGAUUUCCCAAGUAGCGGCGAGCGAACGGGAAGAAGCCCGGUAGGGCGGAAGAAACUAGAAUAGUCGAAUAGCAUUGGAAAAACUACCGACACAGCGUAAAAGGCGCGUAGACGAAAUUCUAGCGAACCAAACUACCUUAACGAGUAGCAUGGAACACGAGAAAUUCUGUGUGAAAAUAGGAGGCCCACCUCCUAAGGCUAAAUACUACUUGGUGACCGAUAGUGGACCAGUACCGUGAGGGAAAGGUGAAAAGAACCCCGGAAGGGGAGUGAAAUAGAAUCUGAAACCCUAUGCUUACAAGCAGAGAAAGCACAUUAAAAGUGUAAUCUCGUACUUUUUGUAGAACGGGCCAGCGAGUUAUUGUAUAUAGCAAGAUUAAACCAUUAAGUGGUGGAGUCGAAGGGAAACCGAGUCUUAAUAGGGCGUAGAGUUAUAUAUAAUAGACCCGAAACCGGGUGAUCUAUCCAUGGGCAGGGUGAAAUAGCGGUAAAACGCUAUGGAGGCCCGAACCGGGUAUGGUUUAAAACAUAUCGGAUGACCUGUGGAUAGGGGUGAAAAGCCAAACGAACUCGGAUAUAGCUGGUUCUCCUCGAAAUAGCUUUAGGGCUAGCCUUUAGGAAAUUUAAUGGAGGUAGAGCACUGACUGGUUGCGGGGCGUGUAUACGCUACCAACACCUAUCAAACUCCGAAUACCAAGAAAAUGAUCCUAAGGAGUCAGACAUGGAGGGAUAAGCUCCCAUGUCAAAAGGGAAAGAGCCCAGACCACCGACUAAGGUCCCCAAAUACAGAUUAAGUGGUAAAGGAUGUGAAGUUACUGAGACAACCAGGAUGUUGGCUUAGAAGCAGCCAUACAUUUAAAGAGUGCGUAAUAGCUCACUGGUCAAGUGAUUUUGCGCCAAAGAUUUCCGGGGCUAAAUCUGAUACCGAAGUCGUGGACUUGUAAUACAAGUGGUAGAGGAGCAUUGUAUGAAGGCCGAAGCAGUACCGUAAGGAGCUGUGGACAUCAUAGAAGAGAGAAUGCUGGCAUAAGUAGCGAUAAGGCGAGUGAGAAUCUCGCCCGUCGAAAACCUAAGGAUUCCUGGGCAAGGCUCGUCCCCCCAGGGUAAGUCGGGACCUAAGGCCAGGCUGAAAAGCGUAGCCGAUGGACAACAGGUUGAAAUUCCUGUACUAUCUUAAAUCGCAACUAGCAACGUGGGGACGCAGGAGGAUAGCCUUACCGUACAGAAAGGAAAAGUACGGCUAAAUAACAAGCGAGAGUCUACAGGGAAAACCGUAGACUUGGUAAAGUGAGUUAUGAUGGGGAUCGAAAAACAAGUAGAGAAGAAGAACUAUUCACACUGCCAAGAAAAACCACUAGCGAGAUGAAAAGAUACCCGUACCGCAAACCGACACAGGUAGGAAAGGAGAGAAUCCUAAGACGCGCGGAAGAACCUUUGUUAAGGAACUCGGCAAAAUGACCCCGUAACUUAGGGAGAAGGGGAACCGGUGGGACAACCCAUCGGUCGCAGUGAAUAGGCCCAAGCGACUGUUUACCAAAAACACAAGUUUCUGCUAAGUCGUAAGACGAAGUAUAGGAGCUGACACCUGCCCGGUGCUGGAAGGUUAAGGGGAAGGCUUAGCGUAAGCGAAGGCUAGAACUUAAGCCCCAGUAAACGGCGGCCGUAACUAUAACGGUCCUAAGGUAGCGAAAUUCCUCGUCGGGUAAGUUCCGACCCGCACGAAAGGUGUAACGAUUUGGGCACUGUCUCAACAAAGGAUCCGGUGAAAUUGUAGUAUGCGUGAAGAUGCGCAUUACCCGCGGCAGGACGGAAAGACCCCAUGGAGCUUUACUGUAGGCUGACAUUGGAUUUCGGUAAAACAUGUACAGAAUAGGUGGGAGACUAAGAACCAAGGGCGUCAGCUUUUGGGGAGUCAAAAAAUGGGAUACCACUCUUGUUUUACUGGAAUUCUAACCCAGGACCAUAGAACUGGUUCGGGGACACUGUCAGUUGGGCAGUUUGACUGGGGCGGUCGCCUCCUAAACAGUAACGGAGGCGCUCAAAGGUUCCCUCAGCACGGACGGAAAUCGUGCAAAGAGUGCAAAGGCAGAAGGGAGCUUAACUGCAAGACAUACAGGUCGAGCAGAUACGAAAGUAGGACUUAGUGAUCCGGUGGUACCGAGUGGAAGGGCCAUCGCUCAACGGAUAAAAGCUACCCUGGGGAUAACAGGCUUAUCUCCCCCAAGAGUUCACAUCGACGGGGAGGUUUGGCACCUCGAUGUCGGCUCGUCUCAUCCUGGGGCUGAAGUAGGUCCCAAGGGUUGGACUGUUCGUCCAUUAAAGAGGCACGCGAGCUGGGUUCAGAACGUCGUGAGACAGUUCGGUCCCUAUCCGUCGCGGGCGUAGGAAAUUUGAAAGGAGCUAUCCUUAGUACGAGAGGACCGGGAUGGACAAACCAAUGGUGCACGUGUUGUCACGCCAGUGGCAUAGCACGGAAGCUACGUUUGGAAAGGAUAAGAGCUGAAGGCAUCUAAGCACGAAGCCCCCCUUAAGAUAAGAUUUCCCAUCGAAAGAAUAAGGCAACUUGAAGACUACGAGUUAGAUAGGCAUGAGGUAUAAGAGUAGUAAUACUUUAAGCUAACAUGUACUAAUGAGCCGAAGACUUGACCAAA
rnacentral:rRNA from 1 species